UUCCAGAGGAUCUGGCACCUGCAUA
rnacentral:piRNA from 1 species